rnacentral:misc_RNA from 1 species
GCAACCGAAAGCCGAAAACCAAACAAAACAAGCAAGAAGUUGUCCUUACUUCACAAUUCCCACGAAUUCAAUUCCCCGGCCUACAAUUUUCCUCGCUUUCUCUCUAAUUUCUCUGUCAAUGUUUUGAUUUGAUCCGAAUCUCAGUUUUGUCUAAUCUUCUUAAUUCUCACAUCGCUGCUCUGUCUUUCUCUCUGUUUCUGUAGAUUGCAGAGCUAGCCAGACCACGGGGAAAAACGCUAAUCUAAUUCGAACAUGUCGAAAUCCCUCCCUUGUUCCUUGAAAGAUGUGCUCCAUGAAAUAUGUGCACUAUGAUAACGCCAAGUUCCGCCA